rnacentral:rRNA from 1 species
UACGUAGGAUGCAAGCGUUGUCCGGAAUUAUUGGGCGUAAAGAGCGCGCAGGCGGUAUGACAAGUCAGAUGUGAAAGAGGCCGGCUUAACCGGCAAGGGUCAUUUGAAACUGUCAGACUAGAGUGCAGCAGAGGAUAGUGGAAUUCCCGGUGUAGCGGUGAAAUGCGCAGAUAUCGGGAGGAACACCGGUGGCGAAGGCGGUUCUCUGGGCCUUACCUGACGCUGAGGAGCGAAAGCGUGGGGAGCGAACAGG